GACGAACGCUGGCGGCGUGCUUAACACAUGCAAGUCGAACGGAAAGGCCCUGCUUUUGUGGGGUGCUCGAGUGGCGAACGGGUGAGUAACACGUGAGUAACCUGCCCUUGACUUUGGGAUAACUUCAGGAAAUUGGGGCUAAUACCGGAUAGGAGCUCCUGCUGCAUGGUGGGGGUUGGAAAGUUUCGGCGGUUGGGGAUGGACUCGCGGCUUAUCAGCUUGUUGGUGGGGUAGUGGCUUACCAAGGCUUUGACGGGUAGCCGGCCUGAGAGGGUGACCGGCAACAUUGGGACUGAGAUACGGCCCAGACUCCUACGGGAGGCAGCAGUGGGGAAUAUUGCAAAAUGGGCGAAAGCCUGAUGCAGCAACGCCGCGUGCGGGAUGACGGCCUUCGGGUUGUAAACCGCUUUCGCCUGUGACGAAGCGUGAGUGACGGUAAUGGGUAAAGAAGCACCGGCUAACUACGUG
rnacentral:rRNA from 1 species